rnacentral:misc_RNA from 1 species
GUUGUAACCGAGAAGCGAGAAAGGUCAGUUGGAAUUGAGAAUUGUACGAAAACAGUCGAAAGCGAGGAUUGUUAAUAAAUAUACUGUUGAACACUGCCGAGUAUUUCUUUGUUACCCUAAAGGGAAAGAGGUGAACGUGUUGUGCCGCAUAAAGACACCGUGUCCGUAAAAUCAAGAGUGUUCGUAAUGGCUAACCGCAACGAGAAAAGGCGCGCAACGAACGCCACAGACCGCGAAGACACAACCUUUUGUUGACAAUUUCUACGAAAAAUUCGAUGCCCCACGGAUUUUCGUCUGCUUGCUUUUGCUCGACAAAUACUACUAUGCUACAAAUACCAUCUACUUUGAGAAACUUUGAUUGUGCGCGAAAAAGGGGAGUAAACGAGAGAAGCAAGAACUCGGUAAGCUGCGUAACGUUUGAAAAGAGCACGUUGGUGAAAAGCUGAUUCACGGAAAAGAGCAAUCGUAGGUUGCGGAAUAUCGGGUUUGAGGAAAAAGCCCGACGUUUUCCACUUGUCGUACGUGACCGCGUUGAUAAGCGGACAAAGAGUGCAAUUAACCAGGCAUAGUCGGAAUAACGAUAAGCCGUCGGAAGCGGUUCUCGAAAGAGCCGAAGAAGGUGCGAACUAGCGAACCACGCGAAAGGAACGGUCAUAAAGUAACAACGUGACACGACAGCGAAACGCAUAAAAAGGAGAGUAAAGUGACCGCGCUUGCUUGAAUUUAGAAUGAGUUUAGAACGAGUUGGAAAGCUUGCAGUUAUUUAUAUUUCUCCACUUUUCGGUCUGUGCUGCUUUCAUCGGAAGCAUCGCGAUGCGAAUCGUUUUUCUGGCUAACCUCGUCUACCCUCCAUUAAG